AGUCGUAACAAGGUCUCCGUUGGUGAACCAGCGGAGGGAUCAUUACCGAGUUUACAACUCCCAAACCCCUGUGAACAUACCAAUUGUUGCCUCGGCGGAUCAGCCCGCUCCCGGUAAAACGGGACGGCCCGCCAGAGGACCCCUAAACUCUGUUUCUAUAUGUAACUUCUGAGUAAAACCAUAAAUAAAUCAAAACUUUCAACAACGGAUCUCUUGGUUCUGGCAUCGAUGAAGAACGCAGCAAAAUGCGAUAAGUAAUGUGAAUUGCAGAAUUCAGUGAAUCAUCGAAUCUUUGAACGCACAUUGCGCCCGCCAGUAUUCUGGCGGGCAUGCCUGUUCGAGCGUCAUUUCAACCCUCAAGCCCAGCUUGGUGUUGGGACUCGCGAGUUAAAUCGCGUUCCCCAAAUUGAUUGGCGGUCACGUCGAGCUUCCAUAGCGUAGUAGUAAAACCCUCGUUACUGGUAAUCGUCGCGGCCACGCCGUUAAACCCCAACUUCUGAAUGUUGACCUCGGAUCAGGUAGGAAUACCCGCUGAACUUAAGCAUAUCAAUA
rnacentral:rRNA from 1 species